UACGGGGGGGGCAAGCGUUGUUCGGAAUUACUGGGCGUAAAGGGCUCGUAGGCGGCCAACUAAGUCGGAUGUGAAAUCCCCAGGCUCAACUUGGGAACUGCAUCCGAUACUGGAUGGCUUGAAUCCGGGAGAGGGAUGCAGAAUUCCAGGUGUAGCGGUGAAAUGCGUAGAUAUCUGGAGGAAUACCGGUGGCGAAGGCGGCAUCCUGGACCGGCAUUGACGCUGAUGAGCGAAAGCGAGGGGAGCAAACGGG
rnacentral:rRNA from 1 species